rnacentral:rRNA from 1 species
CGACGGGUAGCCGGCCUGAGAGGGCGACCGGCCACAUUGGGACUGAGAUACGGCCCAGACUCCUACGGGAGGCAGCAGUGGGGAAUAUUGCACAAUGGGCGCAAGCCUGAUGCAGCGACGCCGCGUGCGGGAUGACGGCCUUCGGGUUGUAAACCGCUUUUGACUGGGAGCAAGCCCUUCGGGGUGAGUGUACCUUUCGAAUAAGCACCGGCUAACUACGUGCCAGCAGCCGCGGUAAUACGUAGGGUGCAAGCGUUAUCCGGAAUUAUUGGGCGUAAAGGGCUCGUAGGCGGUUCGUCGCGUCCGGUGUGAAAGUCCAUCGCUUAACGGUGGAUCCGCGCCGGGUACGGGCGGGCUUGAGUGCGGUAGGGGAGACUGGAAUUCCCGGUGUAACGGUGGAAUGUGUAGAUAUCGGGAAGAACACCAAUGGCGAAGGCAGGUCUCUGGGCCGUCACUGACGCUGAGGAGCGAAAGCGUGGGGAGCGAACAGGAUUAGAUACCCUGGUAGUCCACGCCGUAAACGGUGGAUGCUGGAUGUGGGGACCAUUCCACGGUCUCCGUGUCGGAGCCAACGCGUUAAGCAUCCCGCCUGGGGAGUACGGCCGCAAGGCUAAAACUCAAAGAAAUUGACGGGGGCCCGCACAAGCGGCGGAGCAUGCGGAUUAAUUCGAUGCAACGCGAAGAACCUUACCUGGGCUUGACAUGUUCCCGACAGCCGUAGAGAUACGGUCUCCCUUCGGGGCGGGUUCACAGGUGGUGCAUGGUCGUCGUCAGCUCGUGUCGUGAGAUGUUGGGUUAAGUCCCGCAACGAGCGCAACCCUCGCCCUGUGUUGCCAGCACGUCGUGGUGGGAACUCACGGGGGACCGCCGGGGUCAACUCGGAGGAAGGUGGGGAUGACGUCAGAUCAUCAUGCCCCUUACGUCCAGGGCUUCACGCAUGCUACAAUGGCCGGUACAACGGGAUGCGACCUCGUGAGGGGGAGCGGAUCCCUUAAAACCGGUCUCAGUUCGGACUGGAGUCUGCAACCCGACUCCAUGAAGGCGGAGUCGCUAGUAAUCGCGGAUCAGCAACGCCGCGGUGAAUGCGUUCCCGGGCCUUGUACACACCGCCCGUCAAGUCAUGAAAGUGGGUAGCACCCGAAGCCGGUGGCCCAACCUUUUUGGGGGGAGCCGUCUAAGGUGAGACUCGUGAUUGGGACUAAGUCGUAACAAGGUAGCCGUACCGGAAGGUGCGGCUG